AUUGAACGCCGGUGGCAGGCCUAACACAUGCAAGUCGAGCGGGGUUUUCGGACCUAGCGGCGGACGGGUGAGUAAUGCGUAGGAAGCUACCCGAUAGAGGGGGAUACCAGUUGGAAACGACUGUUAAUACCGCAUAAUGUCUACGGACCAAAGUGUGGGACCUUCGGGCCACAUGCUAUCGGAUGCGCCUACGUGGGAUUAGCUAGUUGGUGGGGUAAUGGCUCACCAAGGCGACGAUCCCUAGCUGGUUUGAGAGGAUGAUCAGCCACACUGGAACUGAGACACGGUCCAGACUCCGACGGGAGGCAGCAGUGGGGAAUAUUGGACAAUGGGCGCAAGCCUGAGCCAGCCAUGCCGCGUGUGUGAAGAAGGCCUUCGGGUUGUAAAGCACUUUCAGUAGGGAGGAAGGGUGUUGUGUUAAUAGCACAGCAUUUUGACGUUACCUACAGAAGAAGCACCGGCUAACUCUGUGCCAGCCGCCGCUGUAAUAC
rnacentral:rRNA from 1 species